UGGGUCUAAACAUUCGUAGCUUGUUCAGUAAGUCUCUUGUGAAAUUUUGUCUCUUAAGGGCAAAGCGUGCAAGAGAUACUGCUGGGCUUGGGACCGGAGGAAGCAAAGAGUAUGCUUGAGGUAGUGGUAAAAUAUUUUAAUCUCGAGCAGACUAACAACAGCGAAGGCACUUUGCUAGUACGGAUCUGACAGUGAGGAAUGAAGGCUAGGGUCGCGAAAUGGAUUAGAUACCCAUGUAGUCCUAGCAGUAAACACUGCUCACUAAACAUCAGCAUCUCCUCGAGAGGCGUUGGUGCUGCAGAGAAGUCGAAGAGUGAGCUACCUGGGAAGUAUAGCCGCAAGGCCGAAACUUAAAGGAAUUGGCGGGGGAGCACAAGC
rnacentral:rRNA from 1 species